GAAAAAUUUCGGGAAAACAAAUUCGGAGUAGGAGAUUAAGUCUGGAAUAGAGAUGAAUGAAUGUCGUCCGAAACAAUACCAAUGAAGAAAGAGAUCGAAGAAUAAGUUAGAAGGAUUCAAGUUAUACUUAGGAGUUUAUAGUUGAAAUCUGAGUUUAAAAUAUGUAUAUCAACUGUGAAUUUUUUUAAGUGUGAGAUUACGGGAUGUUACCGUAAUUGUAA
rnacentral:sRNA from 1 species